rnacentral:lncRNA from 1 species
UCAAAGCAAAAAAGAAAUUUUGCUGCUGAAGGACAAAAGAGCUUUCAAAAGAACCUGAAAAGACACUUAGAAUAUUUUGAGUCUUUAUGCUUAGUUGCAAUUAAAACCUCCACCAAACUGGACCGUGCCUUCA